GACGAACCGAGCGAACGUUGUUCGGAAUCACUGGGCUUAAAGGCGCGUAGGCGGGUGCUCAAGUCCGUGGUGAAAUCCUCCGGCUCAACCGGAGAACUGCCUCGGAUACUGGGUGCCUCGAGGGUGGUAGGGGUAUGCGGAACUAUCGGUGGAGCGGUGAAAUGCGUUGAUAUCGAUAGGAACUCCGGUGGCGAAGGCGGCAUACUGGACCACCUCUGACGCUGAGGCGCGAAAGCCAGGGGAGGCAAACGGG
rnacentral:rRNA from 1 species